rnacentral:rRNA from 1 species
UACGUAGGGUGCGAGCGUUGUCCGGAAUUAUUGGGCGUAAAGAGCUCGUAGGCGGUUUGUUGCGUCGGCCGUGAAAACUUGGGCUUAACCCGAGCCUGCGGUCGAUACGGCAGACUUGAGUUCGGCAGGGGAGACUGGAAUUCCUGGUGUAGCGGUGAAAUUCGCAGAUAUCAGGAAGAACACCCGUGGCUAAGGCGGCUCUCUAGUACGGUACUGACGCUGAGACGCGAAGCGUGGGAGCGAACAGG